rnacentral:misc_RNA from 1 species
CCGAGUUUACAACUCCCAAACCCAAUGUGAACCAUACCAAACUGUUGCCUCGGCGGGGUCACGCCCCGGGUGCGUCGCAGCCCCGGAACCAGGCGCCCGCCGGAGGGACCAACCAAACUCUUGUAUCUUUUUUAUAGCAUGUCUGAGUGGAAUCAUAAACAAAUGAAUCA